AGAGUUUGAUCCUGGCUCAGAUUGAACGCUGGCGGCAGGCCUAACACAUGCAAGUCGAGCGGGGUUUUCGGACCUAGCGGCGGACGGGUGAGUAAUGCGUAGGAAGCUACCCGAUAGAGGGGGAUACCAGUUGGAAACGACUGUUAAUACCGCAUAAUGUCUACGGACCAAAGUGUGGGACCUUCGGGCCACAUGCUAUCGGAUGCGCCUACGUGGGAUUAGCUAGUUGGUGGGGUAAUGGCUCACCAAGGCGACGAUCCCUAGCUGGUUUGAGAGGAUGAUCAGCCACACUGGAACUGAGACACGGUCCAGACUCCUACGGGAGGCAGCAGUGGGGAAUAUUGGACAAUGGGCGCAAGCCUGAUCCAGCCAUGCCGCGUGUGUGAAGAAGGCCUUCGGGUUGUAAAGCACUUUCAGCGAGGAGGAAGGGAGUUGUGUUAAUAGCACAGCUUCUUGACGUUACUCGCAGAAGAAGCACCGGCUAACUCUGUGCCAGCAGCCGCAGUAAUACAGAGGGUGCAAGCGUUAAUCGGAAUUACUGGGCGUAAAGCGCACGUAGGCGGUUUUUUAAGUCAGAUGUGAAAGCCCCGGGCUCAACCUG
rnacentral:rRNA from 1 species